CCAUCAAACCUCUCUCCCACUCCAAACCCUAGAAACCCCAACAAUGGCGGACCACCUUCAAUCGGCACCGCUUCUGCCGAGAAGAAAGCCAGGCCGAUCCCAAUCCCACUCUCAAUCCACCUCCUCUCCAUCAUCGUCCCCGCGAUUGCCCACUUCCUCUUCUCCUACUCCCCAACCCGCCGCUCCUUCGACACCAUCGUCGAGCUUUCUCUCACCGCCGCCUCCACCCUCUCCUACCUCAUCCUCUCCCGUUUCAUCCGCUGGUACGGCCUCCGCCGCUUCCUAGCACUCGACAAAGUCCACAGCGAGGGCGAUCACAUCCGUCUCUGCUACACAACCCAGCUCAACCGAUCCUUCCGUCUCCUCUCCCUCUUCGUCGCCCCUUGCUUCCUCCUCGAGUCGAUCUACAAGAUCUAGUGGUACUGCACUAGCACCGGUCGAAUCCCCAUCAUCGGCAGCUCCGUGGCCGUCGACCACUCCGCCGAGUUAUUUCUCUUACGCUUGGGAGAUUGGUAUUGAAAAAUGCUCAGCAAGGUGCGGCGACUACUUGCUAUGUAGCUUUGCAUCCUUAAGUCAAAGGGAUGAGUGGGAAAUACUUCAAUAGCAGUAAUUUGGUGACACAUGAUACCAAACUUUGGACAAACAAAUAUAUCGAUAAAGUAAAACUAAAGGAAUCUCACGAGCUCAUGCAUGCAUUGUUUACAAAAAUCUCAUGCAGGUGAAUGAUGUGAGGAUGAUGUGUAACAAUGAAAGUUAGGGGUGUGUGCUCAAAAACCUCAAAUAUUAAGUCAUUCAAAUGGUAUUGCUUUGUAUGGUGGCGAAGGGACUCACAUCAUCAUUAUUGGAAACUGAUGAGGUCGAGGUUGAGGGACGAGUACUGAGGAAAGGAAGAAGGGUGAUAGUAACUGAAGUCGACUUCAGUUAUAAGUGAACAGAAUUUUUUCUAAUUCUGAGGUUGUAAGUUUAUUUACCAUUCAAGAUCAACUAGAAUAUUAUUUCAUACAAAAGUGUAUUAGUCACAUACUUGCACUUUCAUGUUCAAAUGAUGAUUAAUACUCGAAAUACAAUUACUAGAGUUGGCAAGUGUCCCCACAUGGGCAUUGCCUUUAAAAUUUCCACAAAAUUUUCAGUAUAUGUUUAUGUUGGAAUUUUUGUUUUUAAUUUUUUAAUUCCCUAAAGGAUAAACACU